rnacentral:lncRNA from 1 species
GAGCUCAAGAGCUUAUUUCCCUUUCCUCCCCAUUUUUCUCCCAUCUCAAAGACCUGAGGAAUUAAGACUGUUGUGGAGUGGGAGCUUUCCCAAGGCUUGUGGGGCUGUUAGUGCAAAGGAGCACUCCUGGCAGCUGCAGCUGCAGACAGACCCUGCUGCAAAGGCAUCUGAUUUACUCCGUGACUCUGAUGCUUAUCAACAACGCGUGAAGAUUGCAGUAAGGAUCCUCCCUGGAAGGCGAGGAGGAGCAACUUCCAGGGGGCUGGGAGGAGGUGGAGUGCAGCGCGGCUCUCGCCUAUAAGGAGGUGCCCAGCGAGCGGCUGGUGCUUCCCACCCAGCCGCUGCU